AACGAACGCUGGCGGCAGGCUUAACACAUGCAAGUCGAACGCCCCGCAAGGGGAGUGGCAGACGGGUGAGGGACGCGUGGGAACAUACCCUUUCCUGCGGAAUAGCUCCGGGAAACUGGAAUUAAUACCGCAUACGCCCUACGGGGGAAAGAUUUAUCGGGGAAGGAUUGGCCCGCGUUGGAUUAGCUAGUUGGUGGGGUAAAGGCCUACCAAGGCGACGAUCCAUAGCUGGUCUGAGAGGAUGAUCAGCCACAUUGGGGCUGAGACACGGCCCAAACUCCUACGGGAGGCAGCAGUGGGGAAUAUUGGACAAUGGGCGCAAGCCUGAUCCAGCCAUGCCGCGUGAGUGAUGAAGGCCUUAGGGUUGUAAAGCUCUUUCACCGAUGAAGAUAAUGACGGUAGUCGGAGAAGAAGCCCCGGCUAACUUCGUG
rnacentral:rRNA from 1 species